GGGUGAAACUGUGGUACUAGAAAGAAAUAGAGGGAAGCGGAAUUCCGGGUGUAGUGGUGAAAUGCGUAGAUAUCCGGAGGAAUACCGGUGGCGAAGGCGGCUUCCUGGAUUUCAACUGACGCUGAGGCGCGAAAGCGUGGGUAGCGAACGGGAUUAGAAACCCCGGUAGUCCACGCCGUAAACGAUGCACAUUCGAUGUUCGGUCAUGUUAAGUGAUUGAGUGUUCCAGCAAACGCGAUAAAUGUGCCGCCUGGGGAGUACGGUCGCAAGGCUAAAACUCAAAGGAAUUGACGGGGGCCCGCACAAGCAGCGGAGCGUGUGGUUUAAUUCGAGGCUACGCGAAGAACCUUACCUGGGUUUGACAUGAUGGUAGUACGGAAGCGAAAGCGGAAGGACCUUCGGGAGCCAUCACAGGUGCUGCAUGGUUGUCGUCAGCUCGUGCCGUGAGGUGUUCGGUUAAGUCCGCAAACGAGCGCAACCCUCGAUGCUAGUUACAAGUGUCUAGCAUGACUGCCCAUGACAAAUGGGAGGAAGGUGGGGAUGAUGUCAAAUCAGCAUGGCCUUUAUAUCCAGGGCGACACACACGCUACAAUGGUCGGUACAAUGGGUAGCGAAGCCGCGAGGUGGAGCGAAUCCUGCAAAGUCGGUCUCAGUUCGGAUUGCAGGCUGCAACUCGCCUGCAUGAAGUCGGAGUUGCUAGUAACCGCAAAUCAGCACGUUGCGGUGAAUACGUUCCCGGGCCUUGUACACACCGCCC
rnacentral:rRNA from 1 species